GCCUCCAUAGCUCAAGGGCUAGAGCACAGCGCUGUUAACGCUAAGGUCUGCGUUCGAGUCGCAGUGGAGGCG
rnacentral:tRNA from 1 species